rnacentral:lncRNA from 1 species
CUGCGCUCCCGCCGCCGCCGGCCGGAGCCCCGUGCUGCGCGCGCUCCGGGUCUUGGCUGUCAUGGCUGGGCUCGUGGUCAGUGGAACUCAAGUAAGUCCGCCGGAGCGAGCCCCGCCCCCGCCCGGGGCAUGGGCGGUGUGGGGAGGGACCGCGGGGCCGGGGUACCCCAAGUCUUCACAGCGCCCCCGCCUGCGAUGGCUGCGCGUGCAAGUGAUGCGUGUCAAGUGCCCAAGCCUGCCCUAGUCUGCUGAGGACAGGCCGCUCUUUCGGCCCUGGCACGCUCCCUGGAAGUGCGGGAAGGGGCCCAGACCCUCCCACUUCCCCCUGUUCCUAGCGUCCCACUGAGCAGCCCCCAGGACCAAAUUCUACUUUCCACACAGUGCUGCGGCUCACGGUACUUUUGGGGGCCCAUUGAAAGUGUUUAACUUUCUUCUUUAUAAUCCGGAUUUAAAGAGAACUUUUGGUCAAAAAAAAAUGUUUUAACAUAUCAUAGUGUAUUCAUCUUUAUACCAAUGCAGAAGUUAACUGAUAUAUUUUAAAUGGAGGAAAGAGGGGGCAUGGAGUCAAAAUAUCUAGGGCCACCAAAGUCACAAUGAAAAUCAUAAUGUAUCUGGGGGAGGGUCGCUGAGUAGGUUCUGUUAUUAAGGUAGGCUCCUUAUCCAAGUCUGGCGGAAGCUCAGGGUUCGCUACAGUUUUAUUGGCACCCCUGAUUUCUUAACAGGUGUUCCUGGGGGAAAGAACACUCCCAAUUUCAACCCUGAAUGAUAGACACCUGGGCUCACGUGUUUUCAGCCCUGUAGUAAAGCCUCAGGUGUUUUUAAUUCAUUGCUGGAGGGAGGAACUCAGCCUGGCUGAGACCAGGUGUUUUGUAUCUGGUGGUAAAGCCAGGUCUCUGUCUUUAACCUCUUCUCUACUUUCUGAUUAAGCCAGCCCUCCCCCUUCCCGCCUUUCUCCACACAACCUGAAGAAGCAGUUCUGAGUUUUUGAAGCACUCCCCUUGGGUUGCCUAAGGCAGCCAAUGUCAGGCACAUUUUGGAUUUUGAGAUUACUCUGGGCUAAAAGGAGCGAUUUCUCUUUAGAGGUCUAAGGGGUUUUACAGCUCCAACAGGCUGGUUGUGCAUUUCACCAAACUGGUUGCUACCUGUAUUUUUUCUUCUUUAUUUUUAGAAUCCUGUCAUUUCUUCAAUUUCUGCACAUUAUUUAUUCAGUGUCUACUAUGCACCGUGCACCACCAGGUGUUGUUGGAAAUUAGCCUCUCCAUGGUCUCUUUGCACUGCCCCUACCCCUUGUUGUUGCCUGGGAUUGCUGCCUCUGUCCUUAGUUAGGCUCAUAGUCUGUUAGGGAGCUGGAGAAAGUCCAGAGUUCAGAAAUGAGAGGUCUCUGUCCCCAAACCCUUGGUUUCUCUACAUUUUGAAACCCAGAAUCUCUGCUUGAAGCUCCUUCCAAGUUUAUGGAGGACUUGUCAGUGGGGCUGUGAGCUUUCCCGUGCCUCUGUUUCCUUUUUCUACCCCCAUUUGCCAAACUUGAUGUUUCCUGCACCCCCUGUUUUUAGCCUACUCCAAACAGCUCAAGGGCAUCCACUGAAGUGUGCUUGAGAUAUUUUGGGGUUUUGGAGACUGCUUUAAGAAAAUGGAGCUGUCUGGGGAGGACUGGAAAAUACCCCUGGGGUUUAGUACCCUAUUUCUUAAACUGCCCAGGUCAGUGGAUUUAGUAUUUGGUAAUAGUCUGCUCCUGCCAGUUUAUAACUAGAGGUAGCAACUUUAAUGUGUAGCAUAUUACUUUUCAAACUUUCGUAGAUAUUUCUUUAAAAAAUUUUUUUGACACAUAUCUAUUUGUGGUAUUUCAAUACAUGUAUACAAUGUGUAAUGACCAGAAGAAGGUAAUUGGUAUAUUCAUCACCUUAAAACAGAUUAUUUAUUUAUUUUAGAGUUUUCAGAAUAGCUAGCUGUUUUGAAACACACAACCCCCCCUGUUUUCAGUUAUAGUACCCUACUGUGCUACAGAACAUUAGAAGUUAUUUCUCUUACCCACAGCACCUCUGUACCUGUUAACCCCGCCCCUCCUCGCCUGUCCAGUCUCAAUAAACCACUAUUCUAUUCUCAGGUAGAUCCUUCUUAAAGGGUGAACAAAACAAAACAAAACAACAAUGAAACCACAAAACUUCCCAUGAGCCCAUAGUAUCUGUAUCAUGUAUAUUGCAGUGUUAUGGAAAUAUACAAACAUAAAGCCAGAUGUAACUUUCUCAACAUAUAGAGACCCAUAACUCCCAAAUAAAAUAAAGCAAUGGUUUAAGUAUAAAGAAAAGAAAGAAAAACUCAAUAACAAACCAUUUAAUGUGAUGGAUGAUGACGUGUGGUUGAAGUUAGAUCAUGGCUCUCAAUGCCACUGUGGGCUGACUGUGGCUCAGCUGCUUUUAUAGAGCUCCUGUCACUUUUAUACAGGCCUGUCACCGCAUGUACUUGAGGAUGUCCUCUUCCUCCAUCACAUUUCUUUGUAAAAUCUUUCUCUUAAACAUGGGUCUGACUUCAUUUGGCUUCUCUUGACUCGAAGUCAUCAUUUAUAUUCAGCAUUAAGUCCUCUAUUUUCACUAAUGCAUGACAAUUAAAAUUGUAGAAUUGAUGCAGUUUUGGACACAAAUGUUAACUUGGUAUUUGGGCACUGAAAUCAUGUGCUCAAGAGACAUUGGAAAUAACCAAUCUCUCCCAUAGGGACAGUGGUCUCAUUCUGCUCUAUUUACCUAGUGAUUGCUAGGUGCCAAUGAAAAUGCUAUGUGUCUUAAAUAGGGAAUUAUAUGUGAUUUAUGGGACUGUUUCUUCUUAAGUUGAUUUUCAUUUCAUUUUGUUUUUUUUAAAAAUUAUUAUUUUCCACAUUUCAUGAGGGAGGGUGUUUCUUGAGGACUGAAUAGAUGCUGGGCACAUAGUUGGUAUUUAAUAAAGAUGAGUUAUUAUGUUAUCCUUACUACUUUUGGGGCAGUUAGGGUUAGGAUGAUUUACAAAAGAGGAAAUAGACUUCACAAGGUUGUGACUCAUGCAAGAUAACACAGCUAAUAAGUAGCAGCUCAGGGACUUAUACAUUUUAUACCUAGGGAUGUUUUUACUGUGACAGUGACUCUGGUAAUUCAAAUAUAAUAUGGAAAAUCCCCCACCCUUGCCUAGGGAUAGGCAUCAUAAAAUACCACCCCUCGCCCCCCACCUGACUACUCACAAACCUAUCAUGUCCGGAAAGGCCUUGGGAGUGACUGUCCUAAAGGCCAAGAGAAACUUGCAGUCUUUGCAGUUUGGUCUUCUGCAGCUUCCACAGAGGGGCUGAGUUUGUGCAUGGGUGGGAAUCCCGCCCAGACACUCUCAAUUCCCUCUGAUGUUCCUUUCUGCAGGGAUCUUUAACUUGACGUAUUUUCAUUUGCCUGCAAAUGAUGUUAAUGCCGGUUAAUGAUCUGUCCUCUUAUUCCACACAAGGUAGAAGGGGUACAAAUUAUAUAAAGUAGGAAAGUUAAAAGUUCAAAACUUUGUUCUAGUUCAGUCUGAGUCAAGGUAAUUGACUAAAUGCAAUGACUUUUUGUCCUGAAUAUGCUCUUGCUUCUAUGCCAUUUAAGAGCUAUUAAUUUCUGCUUCGCGUGGUGGCACACGCCUAUGGUCCCAGCAACUCAGGAGGCUGAGGCAGGAGGAUCACAAGUUUAAGGUCAGCCUCAGCAACUUAGGCCCUAAGUGACUUAGUGAGACCCUGUCUCAAAAUAAACUAUAAAAUUAAAUAGGGCUGGGGAUGAAGCUUCAGUGGUAAAGCAACCCUGGGUUCAAUCCCUAGUACCUACAAACAAACAAAAGCAAUAUAAACAAAAAGACCUUGCUAAUUUCUUCAUCCCUGCUUGCUGAAAAAGAAAAUUAUUUUUGGUCUGGCUCUUCAGGCCUUGUAUCUUACAUUAGGUGGUCCUGUGCACUAGGAAGUUUCCCUAUGUCCUGAGAGGUCUUCCACUCAGAAGCACAUCUUAAACAAGUCUCUCUUCUAGCCAUUGGUUGCAAUGCUCGGCAAUGACUGCUUGCUGCUUUUAAGUCUUUUUCCAGCUGAUUUGAGCCCUUCAGCCUGGUUGGCUUAGCUGACAUCUCUAAAAGCUGCCAGCUUAUUACCAGGGCGGUCCAAGCAUGGCUUAUCAAGUUGGUUCUCAUGCAAAAUUUUAGAGACUUGGUUUACAUCUUUAUGGAUUGGGAGCAAGUUGUGUUGUGUUUUGUUUUCCGAGAAUGUUGUGCUGUUAAGACCAUAUACUAAAACAAGUUGUUAGAUUUGUGAUCCAAGUGCUUCUUGAUGACAGCUGGCCUUGGUACUACUGUUUCUUCUGAAGGGGAAGGAAAAAGGGAGCAAACAUCCCUGUCUUUUCCCAGGCUCUGGCAUUCUCCUUGGGCCUUCCAGAUGGUCCUGUCAGCCAGGAAGAUUCAUUUUGAAGCCAAACAUCAUGAUAGAGGCAUCAUUGGUAUUUGUUGAUCAAGAACACUUACAUCCACAUUGGAUUUGUAGGGAUUCCCCAAGUUCGAAGUCCUUAUUCAUGGUGCAGAAACUGCUCUAGGCUUUGUCACUAAGAAGCUGUCUCAGGUUGAUCAGGGUUUUGGAGUCUUAAUUUUCUGGUUUAAAUGACAAAAGUUUUGAUAAGCUGGAUCCCUACUGGAUUUAGUCCUUGACUAAUCUAUAAGGAAAGAGUUCAGUGUCUCUAUUCAAGUCUCAGCUUUCCUGACUCAGAGUUCUUGAGUGAUGAUGACAUAUACAUGCUGUGGUACAGGCCAGGGUGAGUGGGAUUGGUUUUUGGGUGAGCCCCAUAGGUCUGGGGGUAAAUGCAAAUUUGUAAUGCACAAGAAUCUGCUGACUAAGUGAAUCUCUUGAGGGAGUCCUUAGAUUGAUUUGGGCCUUAUAUCUUUGAUAUCUCCUUGGUGUAUGAUUUCUCAUCUCAGAACUUAAUGUAUUAUACAAGGAUCUAUGAAGAAGGAAGGGCCCCUUCUUCAUAAGGGGAGAGAUUGCUAGAUUGAACCUAGAUCCCUUUAUUUUUCAGUUUGUACCUUUCUGAGUCAAAUUAUUUCAUUUCAGUCAGCUAUUUUUCUUUUCUUUUUUUUUAAAGAGAGAGUGAGAGAGGAGAGAGAGAGAGAGAGAGAGAGAGAGAGAGAGAGAGAGAAUUUUUUUAAUAUUUAUUUUUUAGUUAUCGGCGGACACAACAUCCUUGUUUUGUAUGUGGUGCUGAGGAUUGAACCCGGGCCGCACGCAUGCCAGGCGAGUGCGCUACCACUUGAGCCACAUCCCCAGCCCCAGUCAGCUAUUUUUCUAUGCAUUCUCCCAUUUUUCUUUCCUCCUGGAGUGAAGUUACUGAAGGNCUUGGGAGUGACUGUCCUAAAGGCCAAGAGAAACUUGCAGUCUUUGCAGUUUGGUCUUCUGCAGCUUCCACAGAGGGGCUGAGUUUGUGCAUGGGUGGGAAUCCCGCCCAGACACUCUCAAUUCCCUCUGAUGUUCCUUUCUGCAGGGAUCUUUAACUUGACGUAUUUUCAUUUGCCUGCAAAUGAUGUUAAUGCCGGUUAAUGAUCUGUCCUCUUAUUCCACACAAGGUAGAAGGGGUACAAAUUAUAUAAAGUAGGAAAGUUAAAAGUUCAAAACUUUGUUCUAGUUCAGUCUGAGUCAAGGUAAUUGACUAAAUGCAAUGACUUUUUGUCCUGAAUAUGCUCUUGCUUCUAUGCCAUUUAAGAGCUAUUAAUUUCUGCUUCGCGUGGUGGCACACGCCUAUGGUCCCAGCAACUCAGGAGGCUGAGGCAGGAGGAUCACAAGUUUAAGGUCAGCCUCAGCAACUUAGGCCCUAAGUGACUUAGUGAGACCCUGUCUCAAAAUAAACUAUAAAAUUAAAUAGGGCUGGGGAUGAAGCUUCAGUGGUAAAGCAACCCUGGGUUCAAUCCCUAGUACCUACAAACAAACAAAAGCAAUAUAAACAAAAAGACCUUGCUAAUUUCUUCAUCCCUGCUUGCUGAAAAAGAAAAUUAUUUUUGGUCUGGCUCUUCAGGCCUUGUAUCUUACAUUAGGUGGUCCUGUGCACUAGGAAGUUUCCCUAUGUCCUGAGAGGUCUUCCACUCAGAAGCACAUCUUAAACAAGUCUCUCUUCUAGCCAUUGGUUGCAAUGCUCGGCAAUGACUGCUUGCUGCUUUUAAGUCUUUUUCCAGCUGAUUUGAGCCCUUCAGCCUGGUUGGCUUAGCUGACAUCUCUAAAAGCUGCCAGCUUAUUACCAGGGCGGUCCAAGCAUGGCUUAUCAAGUUGGUUCUCAUGCAAAAUUUUAGAGACUUGGUUUACAUCUUUAUGGAUUGGGAACAAGUUGUGUUGUGUUUUGUUUUCCGAGAAUGUUGUGCUGUUAAGACCAUAUACUAAAACAAGUUGUUAGAUUUGUGAUCCAAGUGCUUCUUGAUGACAGCUGGCCUUGGUACUACUGUUUCUUCUGAAGGGGAAGGAAAAAGGGAGCAAACAUCCCUGUCUUUUCCCAGGCUCUGGCAUUCUCCUUGGGCCUUCCAGAUGGUCCUGUCAGCCAGGAAGAUUCAUUUUGAAGCCAAACAUCAUGAUAGAGGCAUCAUUGGUAUUUGUUGAUCAAGAACACUUACAUCCACAUUGGAUUUGUAGGGAUUCCCCAAGUUCGAAGUCCUUAUUCAUGGUGCAGAAACUGCUCUAGGCUUUGUCACUAAGAAGCUGUCUCAGGUUGAUCAGGGUUUUGGAGUCUUAAUUUUCUGGUUUAAAUGACAAAAGUUUUGAUAAGCUGGAUCCCUACUGGAUUUAGUCCUUGACUAAUCUAUAAGGAAAGAGUUCAGUGUCUCUAUUCAAGUCUCAGCUUUCCUGACUCAGAGUUCUUGAGUGAUGAUGACAUAUACAUGCUGUGGUACAGGCCAGGGUGAGUGGGAUUGGUUUUUGGGUGAGCCCCAUAGGUCUGGGGGUAAAUGCAAAUUUGUAAUGCACAAGAAUCUGCUGACUAAGUGAAUCUCUUGAGGGAGUCCUUAGAUUGAUUUGGGCCUUAUAUCUUUGAUAUCUCCUUGGUGUAUGAUUUCUCAUCUCAGAACUUAAUGUAUUAUACAAGGAUCUAUGAAGAAGGAAGGGCCCCUUCUUCAUAAGGGGAGAGAUUGCUAGAUUGAACCUAGAUCCCUUUAUUUUUCAGUUUGUACCUUUCUGAGUCAAAUUAUUUCAUUUCAGUCAGCUAUUUUUCUUUUCUUUUUUUUUAAAGAGAGAGUGAGAGAGGAGAGAGAGAGAGAGAGAGAGAGAGAGAGAGAGAGAGAGAAUUUUUUUAAUAUUUAUUUUUUAGUUAUCGGCGGACACAACAUCCUUGUUUUGUAUGUGGUGCUGAGGAUUGAACCCGGGCCGCACGCAUGCCAGGCGAGUGCGCUACCACUUGAGCCACAUCCCCAGCCCCAGUCAGCUAUUUUUCUAUGCAUUCUCCCAUUUUUCUUUCCUCCUGGAGUGAAGUUACUGAAGGAGAAUGAAUGGAAAAAGAGUGACUACAGGCUAUUGUAUUGUCAGUGGUUCACCCCCAUUGGUUAGGAGAGGGGUGAGUGAUAACUUGAAAAAUGGAAGGUGCUAGGGUGUCCUGUGGUUUGUAUUAGGUCGAACUGUGUGAAGUUUCUAUUUUAUAGUGCUAAUAGUUGGAUGUUGGUAAUGAAUGUGGUUUAAUCUAGUAUCUGAGGAUGUAAAUGGCCACUAUAUUUUUGUACCCCCCCAACUCAUUCUGAGACAUGUUCAUCCAUAAGCACAGAAUGUAGGUUUGGAGGGAGAAAGGAUCAAGGCUGUAGCUACAAGACAGGCCUGAAUUUCUACCUGGAAGUUGAAGGUGGUGUACUUUGGGCAUGUAUCAUGUAUUGUGGCCCGUUGGCCAUCUCUGAUGCAUGGGCUCAUUUUUCCAAUUUUGGAAUUGCCAGCCAGUCCUAUCUUCAGAAUGCUAUUUAUAAGAUAUCUUUAAAAUGGGUUCCCCAAAGUGGGCAUUUAGGAUAAUGACAAAGUCCAUAGACCUUCUCACAGUUGUAAGUUCUGGGAUUGAAUUUUAGUUCAGUCUUGUAAUAUGUGAGCACUUGCCAGGCAUUUAAAAUAAAUAAAGUAAAAUAAAAUAAAUGACUAAGGAGGCAGCUCUGUCAGCUGAAUGGGGUUGAUUGCAAGAGGCUCCCUGGAAGAGGGAGACUUGGAGACUUGGCCAUAUGUCAUUACCCUGUCACCUUUUAAGUAUCAUUUGGAGAUUGGAGGGCAUUUUAUACUCAAUAGUAAUGGGAUGGAAUUUGGCAGUCUGGGGAGGUUUGCUUAACUAACUCUAUUGUUCUAGCACCCUGAGGGUUGAAGGCCAGUGAGUUUAUCUGCUGUGUCCUUUUCUGAGGCCAUGUGCAUUACAGGGUGAUUGGGAGGGGACAGUGUAGAAGAGACAGAAGGAAAGCCAGAGGGGCAGUUGUUGGAAAGACCCCGGAGUGAGAGGCUGGUUGUUAGGAUUCUAUUAGUGUGCUCUGACAUUGGGGUUUCUUUGGACACCUGAAUCUGGCCAAUUUUAGUCUAAUUUCCAUUGUGCCAGGAUUAGUCUCCAUCACACUAGCUGUUUCAGGAAAGGGGAAAGGGGAGCUGUUGGCAGAAUCCCUGAAGCCCCUGAAGCUUAUUUGAUCAGGAAAAUAGUCACAGUGUAGCCCUUUUGUGUGUGAGGAGCAUGCGUUUAAAGGUUUAAAGUUUCGGAAGCAAUCAUCAGAUCAAUGACUCAGGGUUGUGAGCAGCUGGGUAAUUUCCGUUUGCCACAUUGUUUCUGUUCCAUUUGAUUUCCAGGUGUCCUACAUAGGCCAGGACUGCAGAGAAAUUCCAGAACACCUUGGCAGGGACUGUGGACAUUUUGCAAAAAGGCUGGAUCUGAGCUUCAACCUUCUGAGGUAUGCAACCUUCACAGGAUGCAGGCCCAGCCUGGGAGGCCCAGUUC